rnacentral:rRNA from 1 species
UGUGAACAUACCAAUUGUUGCCUCGGCGGAUCAGCCCGCUCCCGGUAAAACGGGACGGCCCGCCAGAGGACCCCUAAACUCUGUUUCUAUAUGUAACUUCUGAGUAAAACCAUAAAUAAAUCAAAACUUUCAACAACGGAUCUCUUGGUUCUGGCAUCGAUGAAGAACGCAGCAAAAUGCGAUAAGUAAUGUGAAUUGCAGAAUUCAGUGAAUCAUCGAAUCUUUGAACGCACAUUGCGCCCGCCAGUAUUCUGGCGGGCAUGCCUGUUCGAGCGUCAUUUCAACCCUCAAGCCCUCGGGUUUGGUGUUGGGGAUCGGCGAGCCCUUGCGGCAAGCCGGCCCCGAAAUCUAGUGGCGGUCUCGCUGCAGCUUCCAUUGCGUAGUAGUAAAACCCUCGCAACUGGUACGCGGCGCGGCCAAGCCGUUAAACCCCCAACUUCUGAAUGUUGACCUCGGAUCAGGUAGGAAUACCCGCUGAACUUAAGCAUAUCAAUAAGCGGAGGA